GAUGAACGCUAGCUACAUGCUUAACACAUGCAAGUCGAGCGACCGGCGCACGGGUGAGUAAUACGUAUCCAACCUGCCCUUUACGCGGGGAAAGCCUUUCGAAAGAAAGAUUAAUACCCGAUAUAAAGGACGGGGAUGCGUUCCAUUAGGUUGUGGGUGAGGUACCGGCUCACAAAGCAGUCGAUGGAGAGGGGUUCUGAGCGGAAGGUCCCCCAGAUGGGAACUGAGCCCCGUUCCACACUCCUACGGGAGGCAGCAGUGUGGAAUAUUGGGCAAGGGGAGCUAGCCUGAACCGGCCAAGUAGCUUACAAGGUGAAGGCUUUUUGGUCGUAAACUUCAUUUAAAUAAGAAUCUGUAUUAGAUGAAUAAGGAUCGGCUAACUCCGUGCCAGCCGCCGCGGUAAUAC
rnacentral:rRNA from 1 species